rnacentral:rRNA from 1 species
CCUACGGGGGGCUGCAGUGGGGAAUAUUGGACAAUGGGCGAAAGCCUGAUCCAGCCAUGCCGCGUGUGUGAAGAAGGCCUUCGGGUUGUAAAGCACUUUCAGUGGGGAAGAAAGCCUUGGGGCUAAUACCCUCGAGGAAGGACAUCACCAACAGAAGAAGCACCGGCUAACUCCGUGCCAGCAGCCGCGGUAAUACGGAGGGUGCGAGCGUUAAUCGGAAUUACUGGGCGUAAAGCGCGCGUAGGCGGUCUGAUAAGCCGGUUGUGAAAGCCCCGGGCUCAACCUGGGAACGGCAUCCGGAACUGUCAGGCUAGAGUGCAGGAGAGGAAGGUAGAAUUCCCGGUGUAGCGGUGAAAUGCGUAGAGAUCGGGAGGAAUACCAGUGGCGAAGGCGGCCUUCUGGACUGACACUGACGCUGAGGUGCGAAAGCGUGGGUAGCAAACAGGAUUAGAUACCCCGGUAGUC